ensembl:snRNA U6 U6 spliceosomal RNA
GUGCUCACUUUUGUGGCUCAGAUAAUAAAAUUGGAACAAUACAGGGGAGAUUAGCAAUUGCCCCUAUGCAAAGAUAACACACCAAAUUUGUGAAGGGUUUACUAUUUUU